rnacentral:rRNA from 1 species
UACGAAGGGGGCUAGCGUUGCUCGGAAUCACUGGGCGUAAAGCGCACGUAGGCGGAUCUUUAAGUCAGGGGUGAAAUCCUGGAGCUCAACUCCAGAACUGCGUUUGAUACUGAGGAUCUUGAGUCCGGGAGAGGUGAGUGGAACUCCGAGUGUAGAGGUGAAAUUCGUAGAUAUUCGCAAGAACACCAGUGGCGAAGGCGGCUCGCUGGCCCGAUACUGACGCUGAGGCACGAAAGCGUGGGGAGCAAACAGG